rnacentral:rRNA from 1 species
UGGGGAAUUUUGGACAAUGGGCGAAAGCCNUUUCCAGCCAUGCCGCGUGUCUGAAGAAGGCCUUCGGGUUGUAAAGGACUUUUGUCAGGGAGGAAAUCCCUAGCGUUAAUACCGCUGGGGGAUGACAGUACCUGAAGAAUAAGCACCGGCUAACUACGUGCCAGCAGCCGCGGUAAUACGUAGGGUGCGAGCGUUAAUCGGAAUUACUGGGCGUAAAGCGUGCGCAGGCGGUUUGAUAAGCCAGAUGUGAAAUCCCCGAGCUCAACUUGGGAACUGCGUUUGGAACUGUCAGACUAGAGUGCGUCAGAGGGGGGUGGAAUUCCGCGUGUAGCAGUGAAAUGCGUANAGAUGCGGAGGAACACCGAUGGCGAAGGCAGCCCCCUGGGAUGACACUGACGCUCAUGCACGAAAGCGUGGGGAGCAAACAGGAUUAGAUACCCUGGUAGUCCACGCCCUAAACGAUGUCAAUUAGCUGUUGGGGGUUAGAAUCCCUGGUAGCGUAGCUAACGCGUGAAAUUGACCGCCUGGGGAGUACGGCCGCAAGGUUA